UGUUGUUACUGCUGUUGUUGUUGUUGUUGCUGUUGUUGUUGGUGUUGUAGAUCAAUAGCAUCAAUAACAACGACAACAACGGCAGCGGCAACUACA
rnacentral:pre_miRNA from 14 species